UCUAAUAAUCAACCAACUAAUAUGUAGCUCAAGGGAAUUCAAUUCCUGAUCCACAUGUUUACAAGCAAUAAAGGUUCAACCCCAACAUGUAAUUAUCCUCGUCAGAUAAAUCCAUUUAUUCGCCUAUUGCGAGAUCAUUAUGUCAUUAACAUGCUCACGACAUAAAAACUUGCAGGCAUCUAGGAUAUCAACAAAAUCAUAAUAUUCAUGCGCCCUAAAAAAAAGACAUUAAAAUUUCGAAAAACUUCCCUUAGAUCACAUUUUCUUCGGUAGAGUCAGAUCUACUCACAUCUAUAGCUCAAAUAUAGCCACAAACGACGCCAUUUGAUUGGGCCACUUUGGGUGUCUCAAUUUAAUCAUGUGUGUGUUUGUGGUGUGUGUGUGUGUGUAUAAUUGUGAGUGUGAAUUUUGCAGAGAGAGAGAAAAUGAAGCUUUUAUUGGUUGAAGAACC
rnacentral:lncRNA from 1 species